GUUAUCCUGUGUUCAGUUGGUAGAGCAUUGCACUAACAAUGUAAAGGUCAUGGGUUCGAAUCCCAGGGAAAGCA